GGGGACGCCAUGGUUUCGACGGGGGUUACAAAGCGGAUGGGGGCAUGCCGGGAUUUCAGUCACCCCGUUAAACACUGAAUUUAUAUAGUCGCAAACGACGAAACUUACGCACUGGCUGCUUAAUUGCGCCAGUCUCUACACCGCAGGGCCCUUCGGGCGGGUCGGGUCAAACCGGCAGUAGAGUCAUUAAGAAGGGAUCGCCCCGGUUCGGGUUACUUGAGCCAGGGUUAAAUCCAAGGUAACUCGCUCUCCCCAAGCCUGUCGGUCGGCGUGGAAGGGAGUUAAAUCCAAAUGGCUAGACUAAGCAUGUAGAACCCUUCGUAGAGGGCUUCCGGACGCGGGUUCGACUCCCGCCGUCUCCACCA
rnacentral:tmRNA from 1 species